GACGAACGCUGGCGGCGUGCUUAACACAUGCAAGUCGAACGAUGAAGCCGGAGCUUGCUCUGGUGAAUUAGUGGCGAACGGGUGAGUAACACGUGAGUAACCCGCCCUUGACUCUGGGAUAACUGCUAGAAAUGGUAGCUAAUACCGGAUACGACCCUCGGAGGCAUCUCCAGGGGGUGGAAAGAAUUUCGGUCAAGGAUGGACUCGCGGCCUAUCAGCUAGUUGGUGAGGUAACGGCCCACCAAGGCGACGACGGGUAGCCGGCCUGAGAGGGUGACCGGCCACACUGGGACUGAGACACGGCCCAGACUCCUACGGGAGGCAGCAGUGGGGAAUAUUGCACAAUGGGCGCAAGCCUGAUGCAGCAACGCCGCGUGAGGGAUGACGGCCUUCGGGUUGUAAACCUCUUUUAGUAGGGAAGAAGCGAAAGUGACGGUACCUGCAGAAAAAGCACCGGCUAACUACGUGCCAGCAGCCGCAGUAA
rnacentral:rRNA from 1 species